rnacentral:lncRNA from 1 species
AACCUGAGUGUCCAAAGAUACUAUCAGGUUGAUAUCCUGCUGAUAAAUGUCCUCUGAAAGAAGAAAUUUCACAGUAUUCUCUUAAUAGAACACACAAAAGAGUUACCAGAGUUAUAGGGAAGAGAAAAAAACUUAACUGAAAGCAAGACUUGAGACUCCUCUUGGACUCUUAUCUUUAAGAAUAUAGGUUGUCUCUGUCUUACGAGCAUCCAGUUUAGGGUCAUUCCAUAUACAUAUCACACAAGUAGUUUGGCUUGGUAGGGGCAGUAGGAAGGAAACAUUUAGAAACAAAAUGAGCCAGAUCAUAACAGGAGCAUAGAAACAACAGACUCCUAUCAAGUAUAGAAAGGAAUAUAGACAAAUUUUUAGCAGUGGGGAGUCAAGUACCACAUAUUUUGUAAGAAGAAGUGAGUUAGCAUGACUUAAGUACCAUUCCAUACAAACUGGAAUUUGGGCCAGAACUCCAGAUUCCAGGAGAAUUGUAGAGAGGAAGAUAAAAAUCUCAGCAUCAAGGGAGCCAGGGUAGGGAUCAGACACAGGGAAACAGCACAAUAAUAUUUCCAGAGGCAGUAAGAAUAUCUUAGUCAUUUUGGGGGGUUCCAUUUUCUAGCUCAGUGCCUGAUGUGCAGGAAGUGAAUUUGAAACUGCCGAUCACUCUUUCUUGAACAUUGACUCUUGUUGGUUUAUAUGGCAUUACUCUUUUCUUCAACUCUAGUCCUGCCUUUUUAGCCUCCUGUGAAGGUUCCUUCUCACCACAUACAGGAAAUCUCUGUAAAUGUCUCACUGGUACCUCAAAUUCAGUGCAUCCAAAAUACACUCACUCCCAUCUUCAAACCUGAGCCUUUUCCUCUGUUCACUGCCUCAGUGAAUGGCACCAUCCAUCUUCCCCAAAACUUGAAUCACUAGUUGGAUGGCAGCUUUUCCUCUUUCAUCUCUCUUACCAUCUACAUUCAAGAAGCAAAUCCAGUUGAUUUAAUCUUCUGAAUAGCUUUUAAAACUACUGCCUCCCCCUUUUUUUCUAUAGUGACUGCCACUUCCCUAAUCAGGCCACCAUGACCUUUGACUAAUAUUAUUGCACAAUCUACUAAAUAAUCUCCUGGUUUCCAGCUUUGCUAUCAUUCAUUGCAUUCCUCCUACUGCAGCCAGGCUAUCUUUAGAAACAUAAAUCUAAUUAUGUCUUUUCUUUGAUGAAAUCCUUCAAUUCUCUAUUAGUUUAGGUUCCCACAUUUAAGAAUAAAGUUCUGAUUUCUUGAAGUGAUUAUAAGACUCUUCUUGAUUUGGCUCCUGAUUACUUCUCCAGUCUUUUCUUUCCCCUGCUUGUUCCUUUAUAUAAUUUCCACUCAGUUUCAACUUCAGUCUAGAAGAAGACUGAUACUAUGCUGUCUAUAGAAACUUCAGUCUUUUGCAAAUUUUUCUCUCUGUCCUGAAUACUCUUUCCCUCUUGGUCUGGCUAGCACCUACUCAGCUUGUAGGUCAUCCUUGAAUAACACCUCUUCUAGAACAUGCUCCAUGUUUAAAUACCCAGUCAUAGAACUUGUCAGAGUUCAAAUACAUUCUUAUAUUAUGUAUCAGAAUGUAAUCUGCAUAAGGGAAGAAAUGAUCUGCCUGCCUUACUUACCAUCAUAUUCACAGGGCAUAGCACUAAGGGAUUUCCCGCUGUGGCUCAAUGGUAAUGAACCCGACUUGUAUCCAUGAGGACACAGGUUCAAUCCCUGGCCCUGUUCAGUGGGUUAGGGAUCCAGCAUUGCUGUGAUCUAUGGUGUAGGUUGCAGAUGUGCCUUGGAUCCCAUGUUGCUGUGGCUGUGGUGUAGACCAGCAACUGCAGUUCCCAUUCAACCUCUGGCCUGGGAACUUUCAUAUGCUAUAGGUGUGGCCCUAAAAAGCAAACAAACAAACAAAAAGAGUCCUAGAAGAACACUGUGGUGAUGGAUUAAGAAAGGUUGAAAAUUCUUUGACAUUCUUCUCAUGGAAAGGUGGAGGGCUGUUUCUUCUCCUUUUGAAUCUGGGUGGGCCUGUGUCAAUUUGACAGGUAGAAUAUGCUAGAUGGGAUGUUCUGCUGGUUUGCACUUAGCAUUUGAAGAAUAAGCAGCUUUACUAUAUUCCUUUGAAGUCCUGAGAUGCCAUGUGAGAAGCCUAACUGCACUGUUGGAGGAGGGUAGAGAGGCUCUGGAACUACAAGAAGAGAAAGAGGGACCCAGCUGAGUCCAGCCUUGCAGAUGUUCUUGCCUAGGUUUCAGGCACAUGACUGAAGUCCUCAGGGAUCUUCCAGAAUGCAGGAAACCAAGCUAUCAGGCAAAAGUGAUCCCAGUAGACUUUAAGUGAGCAGAAAAAAAUUGCUCUGUAGAAACUUACCCAAAUCCUUGACCACCAGAAUCAUGAGACACAAUAGAGUGGUUUUUAUUCAUAGUCAGCUUACAGUCAGUAAUUUUGGGGGUGGCUUGUUAUACAGCAAUAGAUAACCAGAGCAUUCGAUGCUUCCUUCUUAUUGGCUGUUAGAGAUGCAAAGUAGGGAAGGGAUUUUUCUGGAUCCUGCCGUGUUGCAGUAGCUCUGGCUUUAGGCUUGAAGCUGGGAUGGGGAGAUGUGUGCUUGGAGUCCUGAGUCUCAGCUCAGAGUCCAUUUUCCCCUAGCAUCAAUUUAUUUUGCAGAUGGGUUUCCAGACCAGCCUUCAAAAACCCACUAAGCUCACAUACGUUUUGAAUAAUUACUUUUCCAGCUCACACAAACAAAUAUUUGGAACCUGACCUAUUUGGAAACUGGGAAUUGACUGGGAAGAAAGAAGCUCAUAUCUGUUAAGAAGUGGCAAAAAUUACAGUCAGCAAAAAUUACAGUCAGGGUUAUGACUUAGAGUCAAGCCUGCAGAAAGAGAUUGACAGUUAAAGUGGUGCUGGUGGGAAGAGAAUGAUGGAAGCUACAGAUACCUGUACUUGCUACUUGUUUCAUUCCAGCCCAGAUUUGGGGGGCAAUCACUCCCCUAGGGAGAGUAACUAUAAUGGCUAAAGGGAUCUGUAUUGGUUGGUCAUUUGUUUGAGCCUACUAUGGUUCUGGUAUACCAACUCCUGAUUACUCAUGCCUCAACUUCCUGUGCCAAGUCAUUUGCAUGGAAACCCAGUUCCCAAAGAGCAAACCUGAGAUACCUGCUGUCACAUAUCUCUUAUUUAUCUCGGUCCUCAGUAGUUUCUCUGAUUUGUAGAGCUCUGGAAAUUACUUGACCUACUUUCAUUUACAGCAUCAUCCCAAGUUUUGGACUUUCCCUCUCUCGUCCUUUCACUGUCUUUUCCUCUCUAGUCAUUACCACCAACUCCCCAAGUGGCCAAAAGUGUAAAUCUCCAGUUGGUCCCACAUGACAGUGUGCCUAAGGCUUCUACUCAACUGUGUUCCCAGAUCUCACCCUUUUUAUUUUAGUCAAGAUUAUCUCAGUUGUAAGAGAUGCACAUCCAACUGCAUCCUAUUUAAUCUUUAAUCUAAAAAGGGGGGAUUUAUUAUCUUUUUUUCCCCCAGCAGAAGGAAUGGGACCAUCCUCUAGGGAAACUGGAUCAUGGGUGAGAUCUACAAGAUUAUUCCCUGAUCUCCAACAUCUGCUCUUUUUCAUUUCCUUUUGGUUUAAAUGUGUCAGGAAACAAAGCUACAGAUUUAAGGACUUAUAUCCUUUUGUUAGGAAACCAGAGAAGGAAGAAAAGUUUCCUUGCUAGGAUUCCUGCAUGUGCCCAAACCAGAGCAAUGAUGGCAGGGUAAGGCACUUUGGCUGCGUCAGCCCAGCUCUUUGUCCAGCCCUGUGAUGAGAUAGGGGGCUGUUACCAAGCACAGGCUUCCCCAGAGGCAGUGCCUGUUAACUAAGGAGACAUCCCAAGUUGCAGGGGCAGCUCUUGCAUGAUCCUCUGGGUCAACUGAGACUGUCGUUGGUGAGUGACCAGAGGAGGAACAGGUGAGAGAGACUGUGGAGCACUGAGGAGUGAACAUGGGAGAUCAGGAACAGAACUAGAUAGGAGUUUGCCCACCUGAACACAUGCUCAAGUUCAGGGAAAAUGGGGCAAAUGAGAAGAGCAGCAUGGCCUUUUCUCAGAGAGGCCCAGAUCUUGACCAUAUGGCCAUUUGUAGAGAUUUGUUAUAAUGUUAUAAGCAUUUGAAGACUGGACAGACUUGAAAUUGAGUUGUUUAUUGCUGGUAUUAGAACAGUCAUUUCCUACAGGUAAUUCUGUUUUAUGUGAACUGUGUUUGUACACCUAUAUUUUACCCCAAGGAUAAUAGCUGGACUUCCUUUGAGCUGUUAGCAGACUCAAGAAGGAGGGCUCUGACUUGAAAUGGAACAUAAAUGAAGAUGAAUAUGUUUUCUUUUUUUUUUAGCCAAAAGUAGUUAAAGAGAUGAAAAAUUGUUUUAAAAUAACUGUGAAAUAAUGAAGGGGAGGCAAACAUUAAAAAACUCUCUUUUUAUAAGAAGGAAAUUAAAUAUGUUGAAUGGAUAGCCUAAUUACCUUAUUUAAGAAUAUCUUUUUCACUAAGAAAAUCAAAUGAAUAUAUUUAAAUGAAAUAGCAGUUGAGAAGUGCAAAAUAGCUUUAAAAACCAGAAAACAAAGAUACAUAAUUUUGCAAUGAAUUAGAAUACUUUUAUCUACUAUUUAGAUAAUUUGUGUAUUGCCUUACUAAAUUGAUUGUCUAGAAUAUCCUCACCACUGAAACUUAACAGUCUUCUAGGUCUUUACUGGUAAGAUGAUUGAGUUUGGAAAUCAUCUAUAGAAUCUUAGAAUUGUGCUAUGUUUGUACCUAUUAAGACAAAUCUUGCUUUGCAAACAGAUUAUUCUAAAACAAGUUCCUCUUGUUUCCUAUCUUAAUUUUUAUUCUAAAUCAAGUAAAUAAAACUGAGAUUUGACAUGAGAAAAUAUUCUUUUUGUGAAAGUAUUUUUGUUUUCACAGAAGGCAGGGGCUCCAGAGUUGGAUGUUUCUCACAAAAUCUGACUUAGUAUUCAUUGAUCUCUCCUAUAUUUAUGACAAAUUGACUUUCCAGAGAAGCUUGGAUUUUGAAUGUGUAGUUCCAGUAAGUGCAUUCAUCCAGGUUAGACUGUGAGUCCAGAAAAAAAUGGACAUUACACGCAGGCAGUAAGAGUAGUGUAGAUUUUACCAAUUUUUCCUUGAAAAGCUUAGUUCAAAUUGGCUGGAAUGGGAAAACUGUCACACGGUGAAAGGUGAUUUAAAGAACACAAGAAACAUGUUUAAAAUGGAUGCAACAGUUAGAACCUAAGCCACAUCUAAAAUUCAGUUGAUUAAAAUGCAGAUUGGACUAGAGAAAAAUCAUUGUAAAUAGUGAUUCUCAAUGGGUGAGAAACUCAUACAUCAGUCAUCCUGAAAGGGGCGCAUGUCGAAAGGUUAACUAAAAAUAUCUGUGCGUGUACUGGACAUUUUUUUUUUUUUAAAGCCUCGUGGAAACAGGUGAUGAAAGGCAAUAAGAAGGCAAAGUGUUUGGACUGCUUAUAAGGAAGCAGCCUCUUCUGAUGCUGUCAAGGGAUAACAACCUGGUAAAGGGUAACUGCUGUGAUGCAAAGCCACCUCCUGAGAUGGCU